AGAGGGUGCAAGCGUUGUUCGGAAUUACUGGGCGUAAAGGGCGUGUAGGCGGUAGGGUGUGUCUGACGUGAAAGCCCUCGGCUCAACCGAGGAAAUGCGUCGGAAACUACCUUGCUGGAGUGCGAGAGAGGGUGGCGGAAUUCCUGGUGUAGAGGUGAAAUUCGUAGAUACCAGGAGGAACACCAGAGGCGAAGGCGGCCACCUGGCUCGUAACUGACGCUGAGACGCGAAAGCGUGGGGAGCAAACAGGAUUAGAUACCGUGGUAGUCCACGCUGUAAACGAUGAUCACUAGAUGUUGGGGGUAUUGACCCUUCCAGCGUCGCAGCUAACGCAUUAAGUGAUCCRCCUGGGGAGUACGGUCGCAAGACUA
rnacentral:rRNA from 1 species